rnacentral:rRNA from 1 species
GACGAACGCUGGCGGCGUGCUUAACACAUGCAAGUCGAACGGAAAGGCCCUGCUUUUGUGGGGUUCUCGAUUUGCGAACGGGUGAGUAACACGUGUGUAACCUGCCCUUGACUUUGUGAUAUCUUCAGGAAACUGGGGCUAAUACCCGAUAUGAGCUCCUGCUGCAUGGUGGUGGUUGGUUAGUUUAGGCGGUUGGGGAUGGACUCGCGGCUUAUCAGCUUGUUGGUUGGGUAGUGGCUUACCAAGGCUUUGACGGGUAGCCGGCCUGAGAGGGUGACCGGCAAAAUUGGGACUGAGAUACGGCCCAGAGUGCAAAGGGAGGAAGAAGUGGGGAAUAGAGAAAAAUGGGAGGAAGCCUGAUGAAGCAACGCGGGGUGCGGGAUGACGGCCUUCGGGUUGUAAAACGCUUUCGAAUGUGAAGAAGAGUGAGUGACGGUAAUGGGUAAAGAAGAACCGGCUAACUACGUG